rnacentral:rRNA from 1 species
UACAGAGGUCUCAAGCGUUGUUCGGAUUCAUUGGGCGUAAAGGGUGCGUAGGCGGCGCGGUAAGUCGGGUGUGAAAUCUUGGAGCUUAACUCCGAAACUGCAUUCGAUACUGCCGUGCUUGAGGACUGGAGAGGAGACUGGAAUUUACGGUGUAGCGGUGAAAUGCGCAGAUAUCAGGAAGAACACCCGUGGCGAAGGCGGCUCUCUGGUACGUGACUGACGCUGAGACGCGAAAGCGUGGGGAGCAAACAGG